CCUACGGGUGGCAGCAGUGGGGAAUUUUGGACAAUGGGCGCAAGCCUGAUCCAGCAAUGCCGCGUGCAGGAAGAAGGCCUUCGGGUUGUAAACUGCUUUUGUACGGAACGAAACGGUCUGGGUUAAUACCCUGGGCUAAUGACGGUACCGUAAGAAUAAGCACCGGCUAACUACGUGCCAGCAGCCGCGGUAAUACGUAGGGUGCAAGCGUUAAUCGGACGUACUGGGCGGAUAGCGUGCGCAGGCGGUGAAAUCCCCGGGCUCAACCUGGGAAUUGCGCUUGUGACUGCAAGGCUGGAGUGCGGCAGAGGGGGAUGGAAUUCCGCGUGUAGCAGUGAAAUGCGUAGAUAUGCGGAGGAACACCGAUGGCGAAGGCAAUCCCCUGGGCCUGCACUGACGCUCAUGCACGAAAGCGUGGGGAGCAAACAGGAUUAGAUACCCGUGUAGUC
rnacentral:rRNA from 1 species